rnacentral:lncRNA from 1 species
UACUAAAUUUGGUUACUUGAUUAGUGAACUAGCGACUCGAAAAUAUUUUAAGUUUAGGUAGUUGAAAUGUGAACUUGUCAAUUGAAUUUGCUUAAGUGUGGUUACUUGAGUAGUAGUGAAUUAGUGACUCGAAAAUGUUUAAGUUUAGGUUCUUGAAAUAUGAACUUGUCAAUUGAAUUUACUAAAUUUGGUUACUUGAGUAGUGAACUAGUGACUCGAAAAUGUUUUAAGUUUAGAUAAUUGAAAUGAUGUUACCUUAUCAUAAAAUUUUUUUUAGGUAGUUGAAAUGUGAACUUGCCAAUUGAAUUUGCCUAAAUGUGGUUAAGUGUGGUCACUUGAAAAGUGCAUUAGUGAGUCAAAAAUGAUUAAUUAAGUGUAGUUACUUGAAAUGUGGACUUGUGUUCUGAAUAUAGUUAAGUGUGGUCACUUGAGAAGUGAGUUAGUGACGUGAAAAUGUUUAAGGGUAGGUAUUUGAAAUGUGAACUUUUCAUUUUGAAUUUAGUUUAGUUUGGUAACUUGUGAAGUGACUUAGUUACUUGAAAAUGUUUAGGUGUAGGUACUUGAAAUGUGAACUUUUCAUUUUGAAUUAAGUUUAGUUUGCUAAUUUACGAAGUGAAUUAGUGACUUGAAAAUGUUUAGGUGUGUUAGGUACUUGAAAUGUGAACUUUUCAUUUCAAAUUUAGUUUAGUUAGAUAACUUGUGAAGUGACUUAGUGACUUGAAAUGUUUAAGUGUAGUUACUUGAAUUAUGGACUAGUGACUUUUGUUUUGAAUUUAGGUACUUGAAAUGUGAACUUGCGUUUUGAUUUUAGUAAAGUGUGGUCACUUGAGAAGUGAAUUAGUGACUUCAAAAUAUUUAAGUGUAGGUACUGGAAACGUGAACUUUUCAUUUGACUUUAGUUUAGUUUGGUAACUUGUGAAGUGAAUUAGUGACUUGAAAAUGUUUAGGUGUUAAUAUGUGAAAUGUGAACUUUUGUGACUUGAACUAAUUACUUGAAUGUGACUGGAUAUAUCAACGAAAUAUUGAUAAUAGAAUGGGUGAUGCUGAGAUUGAAGAUGCGGAUGAUGAGUUGUAGUUUUUUGUAUUUUGUAUGUUUUAUAGUUUGGAUUUGUAAUCUCGAUAAAUUUUGUAAAUAAUGUUUGUAUUCUUAUGGUGGUUGGUUGAUUGUAUAUUAAAUGAUUGGUGGGAUGUAUUGUAGAUAAUAAUCAAUGUUU